rnacentral:misc_RNA from 1 species
AACCAUUCUCACCUGCGGCUAGACCUGCGGAAGGAUCAUUAAAAGAACUUGCCCGAGACAUUCGUGUCCAAGGCCCCACACUGUGUGCACCGUUUACCGUUCUUUUUGGCAGGGGCUUUGGGUUUCUCUUUUUGAGGAACUCGAACUUCUCCUUCGACUCUAUCCUCUUUCCUCUCAUUCCUUGGGGUGAGUUGGGAGAGGACAGUCGGACAUGGGAAGCAGUUUCCCUGCCAAGUGAAU